rnacentral:rRNA from 1 species
UGGGGAAUAUUGCACAAUGGGCGAAAGCCUGAUGCAGCGACGCCGCGUGAGGGAUGACGGCCUUCGGGUUGUAAACCUCUUUCAGUAAGGAAGAAGCGAAAGUGACGGUACUUGCAGAAGAAGCGCCGGCUAACUACGUGCCAGCAGCCGCGGUGAUACGUAGGGCGCAAGCGUUGUCCGGAUUUAUUGGGCGUAAAGAGCUCGUAGGUGGUUAGUCGCGUCUGCUGUGAAAACUCGAGGCUUAACCUCGAGCUUGCAGUGGGUACGGGCUGACUAGAGUGCGGUAGGGGAGACUGGAAUUCCUGGUGUAGCGGUGGAAUGCGCAGAUAUCAGGAGGAACACCGAUGGCGAAGGCAGGUCUCUGGGCCGUAACUGACACUGAGGAGCGAAAGCGUGGGGA